UCUCACGUUCUGUACGCGGGUCAUGUUUGUUCAUCUGUAUUGUUUUAUUAUUAAACUGACCUACUUCCUGACUCCCAGUGUAUUAUGUUACAGACUACUACCUCAGAAAAAUGGAAGCAGCAGAGGAUACCACCAUCUUCCAGGUCACAGAAGAGGGUCAUCUACUCCACCAACACCACGACCAGCUGGCGAAACUGGGUACGGCCAUGGAGGAGGUCCUCCUCGUUCUCCACCGCCUCAACACCAUCCGCAAGGCUCUCCAUGCACCUAACAGAGGGACUCCUACCACGGGUCGUCACAGUGAGCCACUGCCGUACGCCCAGGUCAGCGACGUCUGACUGUCCCUUCUGGAGAAUUAUGAAGGCACUCUGUCGAAAUGCUGUGGGUUCCUACUCCAGUGCUCCCUUUAUUACACCUAUCAGACGGGAGCCCCCACCACCGAGAUGUCCAAGGUUGCCACAGUCAUUUCCGUGCUGACCGGGUAGGUGUUGGAGUGGGCUACAGCUGUCUGGGAGAGAGAGAACUCCAGCAGGGUGCCCAGACCGCACUCUGAACUCUAUUCCCGGAGAGGACUGUAAGUAGAGGUCCAGAUGGCGUUGACGUGUUGGGAUGAUGACCUAUCCUUGGAUACACUCAUCACCUUCUUCAGGAGUUCCGGUGCCCACAUCACCACUCGCCUGCCACCUUUGGCUGUCCUGAGGCAGAGCCUGAACCCAUGGCGGUGGGGGCCUUUCUGUGGCAGAGCAGCGUCGCCAGAGACAGCUGGGGUUUUGUCCCUAUUGCGGCCAGUAGGGGCACCAUUUCAGAGGUGUCCAGUGAGUCCCAACCCGGGGUCCACUAAGGCAGAGGGGUGGCCCCGUGAUCAACCGUCUCCCAGGGCCGGUGGUUCCUGGUCCCCUGGCUGAUGCUGUCCCCCGUGACACCCCUCCAACUCCCCUGGACAUCAAGGGUACCCCCGCCUAUGCUGUUAGGUCCCUCCUGGACUCCCGGCGUUGUGGGGGUUGGCUCCAGUACCUGGCGGACUGGGAGAGCUACAGUCUUGAGGAGUGCUCUAGUGUCCCGGUGGUGGGCAUCCUGGACCCCAACAUCAUCCAGGAGGGGGAGGGGGUACUUUCACACCUGCUCCCUCCCUCUGGCACUCAAUGUCACUUGUCAGUGCCAGUGGUUAGUAGACAACUAUGAUUACGCACACCUGUUCCCCAUCAUUAUGCACACCUGGUCAUCAUUUUCUCUGUGAUUCCUCCCCCUUUAUUUAGCCCUCAGUUUACAUUAGCAGUGCCAAUUUUUUGCGUGUUAAUCCUGGUGGGUCAAAGCCCCACAGAAAAAUGUUUGAAGCAGGCUAGCAAACCCACUGCACAACAGAACACUAAGCAAUUCAUGUAUUGCACCAUAAUGGUGACAAAUGGUCCCCAGAAACUGUUAAGUUCUACAUAAAGCUGCCCCAACAGCAGAGUCCCAACACCUUACCACUGCUACACCUGACUAUCAGUGGAGUCUUGUCUGGCAGCGAAACAGUUCAUUCAGCCACAUUUACUGCCUUCUAUAAAAACAUAGCUGAUAUGGCUGACAUAAACUAAUGUGGAUUCUACUGACUGAGAUGUACAAACUAUGGCAUAAGGGGAUGACAAGCAGAUAAGAGGCGAUCCGGACGAGCUAGGACGGACAUAGUCAAUAUCUCUGUUUUUCAGUAAUUUUCAAAUGUACAGUGACAGAAUUUAGAACAUGGACCAUUCGUACAGUAUUCUCCCUGUCCACCAAGUCAGAGUCGUGGUAUACAUAAAGGGGGUGUAUAAGCAGACAAUGAGAACUCUUACAAUAUUUGAUUACGUUUUUCUAAAAUAGGCUUAUAGGCUAUAUGUGCACCACCAAGUCAAAAAAGUAGGCAAAAUUAAGAGGGGAAAUGGGACCAAAUUAUUAUUGUGAGGCAUACGGCCUGCUAACAUCUUACUGCACAACAUACACUCAUUACUUAAUUUUUUUAUAUUAUUUAUCUAAGCAAGUCAGUUAAGAACAAAUUAUUAUUUACAACGACGGCCUACCCUGGCCAAACCCUAAUGACGCUAUGCCAAUUGUGCGCUGCCCUAUGGGACUCCCAACCACGGCCAGUUGUGAUACAGCCCAGAAUCAAACCAGAUUCUGUAGUGAUGCCUCUAGCACUGAGACGCAGUGCCUUAGACCACUGCGCCACUCGGGAGCCCCCAGCUACAGUAUACAUAUCUCCCUGGCAUAUUACAUAAUUUAGGCAGCACCAUACAAGACAUUUUGAGCUCACCUUGUUUUGCUGUGCUCACUUGAACAGGAAGUCAUCAAACUUUGUCAUCAAAGUCUGGCAUUCUCUGGAGUUAUGGUGCUUUCCAGACAACUUGGAACUCAAUAAAACAAGUUUGAAUCAUGAUGACAUCAGUGAUCUUCAAGUUGGAGAUCUAGAAAGAGGCCUGAGUUCACGACUUGCAAUUCCGAGUUGGAUGACUGUUCAAAACAUAUUUUCCAAGUUCCCAGUUGUCUUGUACUCACUGAAAUCAAAUUUCCCAGUUCUGAGUUUCCAGUUGUUUUGAGAGUAGCAGAAGUCAUGCUGGAUUGACAGCAUGGCCAAUGUUGAAUAUUUCUCCUUUUAAGCUUGGAAAAGAGACCCUUAAACCCAGACUUGGGACCACACACCCACUCCACUGAAUAGCAGGCUAGUGAUUGCUUUGCAAUGCUUGCAGUUAGCCAUUGAUAGUUGAAUUUGCGAUUUACGACUUGUUGUGUAAUGUUGAUGUCCAAUGGCCGAUGAGCACUGAUCAUUUAUAAUUUCUCUU